rnacentral:misc_RNA from 1 species
UUUCCGUAGGUGAACCUGCGGAAGGAUCAUUAACUAAAUCCGCACACAACAUGUGUGCAUAAACCUUUGUGAAUUGCCUUUCUUCGGAAAGGACUCGUUAGAUUACCUAACGAUCUAUAUUUUAAAGAGUCUGAAUUUUUAAAUCUAAUUUAAAAACAACUUUUAACAAUGGAUCUCUAGGCUCUU